rnacentral:lncRNA from 1 species
CUUCCCCGCUGGCCUCAGGGGCGCACACUUGUAUACCCACCUAGGUGGGCGCCGCUGUACCCGGGAAUGCGGCCUGGGAGGGUGGAGCCACGCAGGCAGAGUCCUGGAGGAAUCUCCGUACCCGCUCCACUCGACUUCCGACAUUUUACCUUGGCUAAAAGAAGGAAAGGGACUUUGAAAUCCUUAAAGAAGACUUUUUUUGUGUGCAAUGGAGAACAAACACAGAAUGUAGUCUGAAGAUGC